CCUACGGGAGGCAGCAGUGGGGAAUAUUGCACAAUGGGGGGAACCCUGAUGCAGCGACGCCGCGUGAGUGAAGAAGUCUUUCGGUAUGUAAAGCUCUAUCCGCAGGGAAGAAAAUGACGCUAUCUGACUGAGAUGCCCCGGCUAACUACGCGCCAGAACCCGCGGUCAUACGUAGGGGGCAAGCGUUAUCCGGAUUUACAGGGUGUAAAGGGAGCGUAGACGGCAGAGCAAGUCUGAAGUGAAAGCCCGGGGCCCAACUGCGGGACUGCUUUGGAAACUGCCCUGCUAGAGUGCUGGAGAGGUAAGCGGAAUUCCUAGUGUAGCGGUGAAAUGCGUAGAUAUUAGGAGGAACACCAGUGGCGAAGGCGGCUUACUGGACAGUAACUGACGUUGAGGCUCGAAAGCGUGGGGAGCAAACAGGAUUAGAUACCCGGGUAGUC
rnacentral:rRNA from 1 species